AAGGCUUUAGCUUAAUUAAAGCGUCUGUUUUGCGCACAGGAGAUGCGGGCUAGCGCCCCGCAUGUUUUA
rnacentral:tRNA from 1 species